rnacentral:rRNA from 1 species
GUCACGAGUUUGAUCAUGGCUACAGAACGAACGCUGGCGGCAUGCCUAACACAUGCAAGUCGAACGAGACCUUCGGGUCUAGUGGCGCACGGGUGCGUAACACGUGGGAAUUUGCCUCGGGGUAUGGAAUAACUCAGGGAAACUUGAGCUAAUACCAUAUAAUGUCUUCGGACCAAAGAUUUAUCGCCCUGAGAUAAGCCCGCGUAGGAUUAGCUAGUUGGUGGGGUAAAGGCUCACCAAGGCGACGAUCCUUAGCUGGUCUGAGAGGAUGAUCAGCCACACUGGGACUGAGACACGGCCCAGACUCCUACGGGAGGCAGCAGUGGGGGAAUAUUGGACAAUGGGCGAAAGCCUGAUCCAGCAAUGCCGCGUGAGUGAUGAAGGCCUUCGGGUUGUAAAGCUCUUUUACUCGGGACGAUAAUGACGGUACCGAGAGAAUAAGCCCCGGCUAACUCCGUA